UCACGUGAUUUCGGGGGCGGGCCUGGCCGGGAAAGGGAGGCUGGGCGCUGUAGAGGGGCAAGGCUUGCGUCGCUGCCCAAGGUUGGGGUAGAGACAACUGAGGGCUGCUUAAGGCCAUUCGUGCCCGACCCAGUGAGCAAGCUGGGAAACUGAGGCCCCCGCUCGCUCUCCCAGUAGGACUUGAACCUGCUGACUCUCAGGCUGAAGGGAAGCUUCAGGAGUGGGAAGUUGCCGGGGCUCUGCUGCUGCCGUUGGUGACAGUGAUCUUCAUCAAACCCUCAAGGUCCGGAGGUCUGUGAAGAAUCUCAGCGUUGCUCAUGCUUGCACCAGAGGAGCCAGGGACACGUCAGUCACCAAGGCAGCGCUGGCUGUGUCGUCAUGGCUCUAGGGCCAGUGGAAAAAGACUGACCUAUCCUACCCAGUGACAACCCCAGAGGCCCUGCACAGAAGCCAGGCUGCAGCGCUCCAGGCCUCUCCAAGGACACUGGGGAGCCAUGAAAUGACAUAGAGCAGGGUAGGGGACGAGACCUGCACCUGUCAGGGGCUGCUCUGUAAACAGCCGCAUCUCCCAGGCACCGCUCAUUCCCUGCCUGGCCCUGCAGGGUGGGCAGCACAUGGAACCUGACGGACCAGGGCAUCUGCAGGGCUCAUGAGACCACCCCAAAGAUAAACGUGGAAGUAUGGGUUCCCAGCCUGCAGGCCUCCAUCACCUCACUGCACAGUGCGUGCACAGUCCCUGCUCCCGGGGAGGGGGCGGGGAAGGCAUAAGUGCCAUCUGCUGACAGCCUGGCUGGGGUUGGGUCCUUGGUGCCAAUGACACCCCUGCGCCUUUGAGGCACUGCAGCGCCUUUGGUGUCUGCCUGUCCCCACGUGCUGGAGAAGGGCAUCCAUGCGGGUGCCACGGCAGAGAGGAAGCCAGAGAGGAACAUGACCCUCUGGUGGCAGCCACUGUAGUCCUGAGGUGGGCCUGUGGGACCCACACUCCUGGGCCUGCUGGUGGCGUAGAGCACACGCACGGCUCUGGGCUAGGAGGCCCCUGAGAGAACAGGAGGCAGGAAAGGCGUGAGAAAUGGAUCUGGCUCCAACCGCAAGUCACUGUUGCCACCAUCCCAUGCCUUGGACCUGCAGCAGAGCCACCUCCCGCGCCCCGAAGCUGCUCCAGGUGAGCGAGGGAGGAAGGCAGGCGAGGACAGGCAGUUGUUGAGUUUAAGUUAAACACCCAUAUGAAUUUAUUAAAUCCAGACUGUGUUAAAGGGUGGCGGUCUGGGACGAGGGGCCAGGGGAUGAAGGACAAGAUGAUGGAUGACCGCAGGCAUCCCACCUCAGGCCCUGGCCCCUCCCCUGCCCGGCCCCUCCCAGCGCCAUCAGCGUCACCAUGAUUCCCAGUGGUGCUGGGGGGGCAGGGCGAGAUGACCGGAAACACACAGGGACGGACGGACAGACGGCGCCUCCACGAACAGUGAGCCUGGCCUGCCUCGGCCCCC